rnacentral:rRNA from 2 species
CCUGGAAACAGAUGCUAAUACCGCAUAACAACUUGGACCGCAUGGUCCGAGCUUGAAAGAUGGCUUCGGCUAUCACUUUUGGAUGGUCCCGCGGCGUAUUAGCUAGAUGGUGGGGUAACGGCUCACCAUGGCAAUGAUACGUAGCCGACCUGAGAGGGUAAUCGGCCACAUUGGGACUGAGACACGGCCCAAACUCCUACGGGAGGCAGCAGUAGGGAAUCUUCCACAAUGGACGAAAGUCUGAUGGAGCAACGCCGCGUGAGUGAAGAAGGGUUUCGGCUCGUAAAACUCUGUUGUUAAAGAAGAACAUAUCUGAGAGUAACUGUUCAGGUAUUGACGGUAUUUAACCAGAAAGCCACGGCUAACUACGUGCCAGCAGCCGCGGUAAUACGUAGGUGGCAAGCGUUGUCCGGAUUUAUUGGGCGUAAAGCGAGCGCAGGCGGUUUUUUAAGUCUGAUGUGAAAGCCUUCGGCUCAACCGAAGAAGUGCAUCGGAAACUGGGAAACUUGAGUGCAGAAGAGGACAGUGGAACUCCAUGUGUAGCGGUGAAAUGCGUAGAUAUAUGGAAGAACACCAGUGGCGAAGGCGGCUGUCUGGUCUGUAACUGACGCUGAGGCUCGAAAGUAUGGGUAGCAAACAGGAUUAGAUACCCUGGUAGUCCAUACCGUAAACGAUGAAUGCUAAGUGUUGGAGGGUUUCCGCCCUUCAGUGCUGCAGCUAACGCAUUAAGCAUUCCGCCUGGGGAGUACGGCCGCAAGGCUGAAACUCAAAGGAAUUGACGGGGGCCCGCACAAGCGGUGGAGCAUGUGGUUUAAUUCGAAGCUACGCGAAGAACCUUACCAGGUCUUGACAUACUAUGCAAAUCUAAGAGAUUAGACGUUCCCUUCGGGGACAUGGAUACAGGUGGUGCAUGGUUGUCGUCAGCUCGUGUCGUGAGAUGUUGGGUUAAGUCCCGCAACGAGCGCAACCCUUAUUAUCAGUUGCCAGCAUUAAGUUGGGCACUCUGGUGAGACUGCCGGUGACAAACCGGAGGAAGGUGGGGAUGACGUCAAAUCAUCAUGCCCCUUAUGACCUGGGCUACACACGUGCUACAAUGGAUGGUACAACGAGUUGCGAACUCGCGAGAGUAAGCUAAUCUCUUAAAGCCAUUCUCAGUUCGGAUUGUAGGCUGCAACUCGCCUACAUGAAGUCGGAAUCGCUAGUAAUCGCGGAUCAGCAUGCCGCGGUGAAUACGUUCCCGGGCCUUGUACACACCGCCCGUCACACCAUGAGAGUUUGUAACACCCAAAGUCGGUGG